GCCUAGAUAUUGUAUGGUCUACAUAUAUUUAUCAUGACCUAAUGAUAUGAAAAACAACAACGAUUUGAUGUCAAGCAUAUGAAAUGCUUAUUAGGCAAAUAUAUUUAGCAACGACUCAUUUCGAAUGAACUAGAACACAAAUAUUAUAUUUACCUUUACGAAAUUGUAUUAUAUCGAAGCAUAUAAAAGACUGAUUGUAAAACAAGAAAGAGAGAGUUAAUAGUCGAGCGUUUAGUAAUAAAGACGUGUGCUAAGGAGAGUAUCUUGGUUUAUUUCUGAGCCUGCCCUUCUAUUAAUCUCCCACAUGGGGGCUCAACCGGUCGGACUCUAACUCUACGAGGGUCCGAUUGAAGCCAAAAAUUUUUUUGAUGUAAAGUGAUGUAGUGAAUUUUAGUGCAAGAUGUGUGAUUUUGAAGAACGAGUCAAAGUGAAUUUUCGUGGAUAUUGAGUUGUGAUGAGUUAAAUAUUACGAGUUUCAUAGAAGUAACAAAACGAUGGGAAUGAAUUUCGAAGUUAUUCCAAAACAUGAUGGUGAUUAUUCACAAAAACAAUGUACGACUGAUGAGACGAAUAUGAGUAACGAGAGUCAACAUUCACAAAACAACGAAAGUUUCGAGAACGAGUUCAACAAAUAUGAUGAUCAAUCACACAACGAAUUUGACUAAAAUAAUUUUUGAGACAAUGGCAACAACUGUGGCUACGAUUAUGGUGAACGAUUUGGUACAACAAUGGUAUUCAACGAUCGAAUUGGGUUGGAAUAACGCUGAUGGGAAUUCUACUGAAACGAAUUGACAAUACGAAAAUCCUGGCAGAUGGCUUGGUGGACGAAGAGCGGAAUUCUAACGCUGAUGGGAAUUCUACUGUAAAUCAUGACGACAACGAAGAGCAGAGUUCUAACGCUGAUGGGAAUUCUACUGUAAAUCAUGACGACAACGAAGAGCAGAGUUCUAACGCUGAUGUGAAUUCUACUGUAAAUCAUGACGACAACGAAGAGCAGAGUUCUAACGCUGAUGUGAAUUCUACUGUAAAUCAUGACGACAACGAAGAGCAGAGCUCUAACGCUGAUGGUUUUACAAAGCGAUUGGAAUUUUGAUAGCAAUUCCACACAACAACGAUGGUGAUUUUUCACAACAAUGACGGAAAUGGAGUGGAAUUUUGAUGACCAUUCCACACAAUAACGAUGGUGAUUCUUCACAAAACUGGAAUUUCGAGAGCAAUUCCAAAACAACGAUGGAAAUGGAGUAAAAUUUCGAUGACAAUUGCGAAAACAAUGAGACUUAGGAUGGACAAACGGUAUGAAUAUGAAUAUUUUUGAUGUUGAAGUUUAUUGAGAAUUCUGAUUUUUAUCGCGAUCUAUUGGAGUAGACUGUGUUAUGAGGGAAAUGUAAAAUAAUUUUUUGAGGAAUUUAAUUGUUACGAAAAUUGUUGAAUGAUUAUGAUGAACUGAUACUUUUGAUGAAAUAUAAGUAACGAUUUUGAUUAUGUUGAGUUAAAGAUUUUACUUGCGAAUGGAAUGAUUUGAAUUAAUUUUGUUUUAACAGUUACGAGUUACUUAAAAUCUCUUGACGUAAGUGAUUUAAAGUGUAUGAUUUUAGAAGAAAUUGAUGUUUGAAGAAUUGUUCUAAGUGGAAAAAUUUUGAAAUGUUGAAAAAGUGAAUAACGAGGUCACGAGUGAAUUUUUUGGAUUACGUAAAAUUUAAUUUUGAGGUUGGUCAGUUAUUUAAAUUACGGUGCAUAUAUAGAGUAAUAUGAAAAUGAUGAAGAAAUUGUGCGAUAUUAUUGUUUUGAUGACGAGGUUUGAUUUUGCUGACUUGAGUUUUGAGUAAUUUUGAUGAAAUAAUUUAGUAGCGAGUUUGUGCGAGGCAAUGCAAACGUUUUGAUUUUAAACGUUUUCAAUGUUGAUGAAUUAAAAAUGUUUUUAUGUUAUUACAAUUAAGAAUGAGAAUGAUAAUAUAGAUAGACGAGUAUAUAUGAUGAAAUGAUUUUUAUGAUAACAUUUUCUGAAUGAGGAAAAUGAGAAUUUUACAUGUUUUGUAAAUUGUUUGUUGAGGUAUGUUUAAAUAGUUUUGAUUAUUUUUGUUGAAUGCUUUACGAUGACGAUGACGAUGAAAUGGUUUUUGUUCGAUGAAAUUGAAAAUUGUUAAAAAACUGAAUUUGAUUUUUGAUGAAGUAAAUACGAUUUCUAAGAUAAAGUUUAAAUAUGAUUCUACGAGUUAACGAAUCAGUUUUGAUUUAAAUUAAAAUUUGAAGAUAUGGUUACAAACUUUGUUGACAAUGAUGUUUUUCUGAAUGAUUUUUUUUUGACUAUGAAGUGUAAUUUUUGUUUGAUUUAAUUUUUCUAUGAUGAUGCAUACGAAAUUCAGAUUUUUUUUUAAAGUUUGAAACUUUAAAUUUGAUUAAAUUUUGAUUUGUAAUACAAGUAUUGAUGGACAAUUAACCGAAUUAAUUUUAAUCGAGGGAAAAAUUGAUUUUUAGAAUGCUUGAAAUACUGAUUUUUGAAAUUUUUUGAUGAAUUUUAUUGAGAGGAUUAUGAUUAUGAAGAAUUGGAAAUACUAUUUGAAAUUUUAGAUUUUUUUUGACGCUGACAGAUUUUUGAUUUUGAUGAUUUUCAUGAAGAGAAAGAAUUUUGAUUUUUUUUGUGUCUGUCGAGGGCGACUAGACAGUCGAGUGGCCGAGUGUAGGUAUGGCCUAGAUAUUGUAUGGUCUACAUAUAUUUAUCAUGACCUAAUGAUAUGAAAAACAACAACGAUUUGAUGUCAAGCAUAUGAAAUGCUUAUUAGGCAAAUAUAUUUAGCAACGACUCAUUUCGAAUGAACUAGAACACAAAUAUUAUAUUUACCUUUACGAAAUUGUAUUAUAUCGAAGCAUAUAAAAGACUGAUUGUAAAACAAGAAAGAGAGAGUUAAUAGUCGAGCGUUUAGUAAUAAAGACGUGUGCUAAGGAGA